UACGUAGGGUGCGAGCGUUAAUCGGAAUUACUGGGCGUAAAGCGUGCGCAGGCGGUUUUGUAAGUCAGAUGUGAAAUCCCCGGGCUUAACCUGGGAACUGCGUUUGAAACUACAAGGCUAGAGUGUGGCAGAGGGGGGUGGAAUUCCACGUGUAGCAGUGAAAUGCGUAGAGAUGUGGAGGAACACCGAUGGCGAAGGCAGCCCCCUGGGGUAACACUGACGCUCAUGCACGAAAGCGUGGGGAGCAAACAGG
rnacentral:rRNA from 1 species